UAGCUCACUAGUCGAGUGAUUGUGCGCCGAAGAUAAACGGGGCUCAAACUUGCCACCGAAGCUAUGGCAGCGUACGUAUGUAUGCUGGGUAGGGGAGCAUUGUGUACGAAGCGAAGUUUAACUGUAAGGUUAGGUGGAUUGUACACAAGAGAGAAUGCUGGUAUGAGUAGCGAAAGUUAAGUGAGAAUCUUAACCAUCGAAAGUCUAAGGUUUCCUGAGGAAGGUUCGUCCGCUCAGGGUAAGUCGGGACCUAAGCCGAGGCCGAAAGGCGUAGGCGAUGGACAACCGGUUGAAAUUCCGGUACUACCUUUAGCGAUUGAGAGAUGGAGUGACACAGUAGGAUAAGCUAACCGCUCGAAUGGAAGAGAGCGGCCAAGCGUCAAGUAGGGAAGCAUAGUCAAAUGCGUGCUUCUAUUUAAACUAUGAGGCGUUACGGGGACCGAAAAUAAGUAGGGAAGUAGCUGAUUUCACACUGUCAAGAAAAGCUUCUAUCGAGCGAAGAGGUACCCGUACCGUAAACCGACACAGGUAGACGAGGAGAGAAUCCUAAGAUGAUCGGGAGAAGUGUUGUUAAGGAACUCGGCAAAAUAACCCCGUAACUUCGGGAGAAGGGGAGCCUAACCUGAUGUAAUUUAUUAUAUACAGGAAGGCUGCAGAGAAAUGGCCCAAGCGACUGUUUAACAAAAACACAGGUUUCUGCUAAAUCGAAAGAUGAAGUAUAGGAGCUGACGCCUGCCCGGUGCUGGAAGGUUAAGGGGACAAGUUAGCGCAAGCGAAGCUUUGAACUUAAGCCCCAGUAAACGGCGGCCGUAACUAUAACGGUCCUAAGGUAGCGAAAUUCCUUGUCAGGUAAGUUCUGACCCGCACGAAAGGCGUAACGAUUUGGGCACUGUCUCAACAACACACCCGGUGAAAUUGAAGUACUCGUGAAGAUGCGAGUUACCCGCGACAGGACGGAAAGACCCCGUAGAGCUUUACUAUAGCUUGACAUUGGAUUUUGGUAUUGCAUGUACAGGAUAGGUGGGAGGCUGAGAAGCCGGAACGCCAGUUUCGGUGGAGCCAAUCUUGGGAUACCACUCUUGUAAUACUGAAAUUCUAACCAGUGGCCGUUAACCGGUCAUGGGACAUUGUCUGGUGGGUAGUUUGACUGGGGCGGUCGCCUCCGAAAGAGUAACGGAGGCGCCCAAUGUUCACCUCAGAAUGGUUGGAAAUCAUUCGCAGAGCGCAAAGGCAUAAGGUGGACUGACUGCGAGAGAGACAUCUCGAGCAGGGACGAAAGUCGGGCUUAGUGAUCCGGUGGUACCGAGUGGAAGGGCCAUCGCUCAACGGAUAAAAGCUACCUCGGGGAUAACAGGCUUAUCUCCCCCAAGAGUCCACAUCGACGGGGAGGUUUGGCACCUCGAUGUCGGCUCGUCUCAUCCUGGGGCUGUAGUAGGUCCCAAGGGUUGGGCUGUUCGCCCAUUAAAGAGGCACGCGAGCUGGGUUCAGAACGUCGUGAGACAGUUCGGUCCCUAUCCGUCGUGGGCGCAAGAUAUUUGAGAGGAGCUGUUCCUAGUACGAGAGGACCGGAAUGGACAAACCUCUGGUGCACCAGUUGUUCCGCCAGGAGCAUAGCUGGGUAGCUACGUUUGGACGGGAUAAGCGCUGAAGGCAUCUAAGCGCGAAGCCCCCCUCGAGAUUAGAUAUCUCACCCGAAAGGGGUAAGGUCCCUGGUAGACUACCAGGUUGA
rnacentral:rRNA from 1 species